AGGGCAUGUCCGCCGAUCCCAAGGAGGCAAUCUGUCAGGCGCCGCCCGGGCGGCAGUAUGCCUGAGGGGGUCCUCCGUGUUCGCGCCUCCCGCCGCCUGCACUGAAAGGUCUGUACCUGAGCCUGGAUACUUGAACAGAGGCAGACACUGCGGCUCAAAACCCCAAGGGUAGGUACCUAUUGUGCGGAGUCUCGGAACGCCUGCCUGGAAGAAGAGUUCCGGCGGCUCCCCGAACGCUUGGAGAAAGCGCUUGGAUGCAGUUGCAGGGUGAGAUUUGAGACGGUGAUUGUGUUUUCCAGCAGGCGCUCAGGCGGGGUGGUGAAGGAGGGAUACAGACCUCUAAAGAUUCCUCUCUCGUUGGGGUGAGGUGGGGAACAGCAGUGACAGUAAAGGGGAGGGAGAAGGGUUUGCCCAGGCCUUCAGACACUUUACUUUGUGGGAGAUGUAUGUGCUGAGUGUCCCUGCUCUGGAGGGAUUGUUAAAGAAUCCAGGUUCUUGGGGAGUGUCUCAGGAGAACACUCCAGGUGAUAUCCUUAUUCUUCCUAUUUUCACCGUGUUGGUUUUUUUUUGGAUAUAACUUGUUCCCUUUAACCCGAGGCACCACCCUCUGGGCCUCACGUCUUCAUCCCUCAAGUCCGCUGCCUCUGAGCUGCUACUUAGAUCUGGUCUGUUUCUACCUCUGCUGGACCAGAAGUUUGCAUUAACGCCCCCACCCCAUCCUGCAAGACCGGCGCUUCCAACCAAGGGCUCUCUCCUCUGAACCUAGAACCUGCUUGGAAAUCGAGUAUUUCCUCUAUGCCCAGGUGGAGAUUGAUGUUUGGGUUUCACAUCUCCCAACUCUGUUGGGUACUAUGUCGUUUCUCAGCUUGGUUGUAUGUGCCUCCAUUGAGUGGACCGUAUCUCCAGAAUUUCUCCUAACCCUCCCAGUGUACUCCCCUGCAAUCCUUUCUUUUUUUCUCCAAAUCCCCCACCCCCCACCAGAAAUGACUUUACCCCUGUGCCACUUAUUUUGGCCUGGAGCACUAAGGAGCCAUACUACACCCAAUGCCAGAGGUGGAACAGAAAUGAGGUUUGAAAUGGGAACCAGAAGCUAAUCUGUGGGAAAUUCUUUUACUCCUCAGACGUGUAAAGAUGUGUUGGAGACUCUCGUAAAUAUGUAUUCAGUAAUGCAGCAUAUACAGUGAUCACCAUGUAUUCAUUUUUUAUGGGAAUCAACAAUUCAGAAUGAUCAAAAAUCCCUGUGUGUAGAGACAUGAAUCUAUAGGAAUAUCACACAUAGUGAGCACAACUGUGAGUGAAAUCCCAUGUUUCAUGCAUCCCAGCAGUCCCAAAGGGAGCCUCCAAAUGUGUACGGGAUUCAGACUCCAUGUAACCUGCAUCUGUCUAUGCACUAGCUAUGUGAGCUGUUACCUCAGUCUUGAUGAGGUUACUCAGGAAGUCUGGGAUCUUGAUUUUUGCCGGUCACUGAUCACCUGGCUACAGGAAAGGAGACCUAAAUCCAGAACUUAAAUUUAUGAACACCAGGUCUGUAGGCACUAGACCUCAGAAGUAGGUGAGUAGGUGGCUAUUGGUUGGUCCCUUCUGGAGUGAGGCAGAGAUACCUAUGCCAUAUGCAACAUAAAAGGUUGCCUGAGCCCCUCAGCCUGAGGUAGAGUAAGGAGGGAGAGGUGGAGAGGGACUUUCUUCUCAGACCAGGGAAAUCAGAAGCCAUCAGAUGCCUUCAGUAGGGAAUCCAGCACAAAGAGGAUCAUAAGUCAUCUCCCCACUUCUCUAUAGUCAUCAUAGACGUAAUUGCUAACCUACCCUUCCUUGGUGCUCUGGUUAGUAGAGUGAAGUUGAGAUAAUAUAAAUGAAAAAACUGAGCAGAAAGGGAGUGAGGAUACGGGGCCUCUUCAGUUUGCCUUAUGGGCUUCCCACUCUAAAUAGAUGAGGUACACAACAUUCUGGCAGUAUCACACUAGGGCCAGAGUUGGUAGCUCACAGAUGUACGAUAGAGGAUGGAAGGAGUAUGCCUCUCAGGCAGGCAAGUUUAGCCUGGUAGACAGAGGAUGUGGCUUAAAAGUCACUGCCUACAAGACCAGUGCAUGCAAGUGAGUCCCUGCUGCUGCUUGGAUCAGAGGAGGUGAGGCAGAAGGCUGAUGAAAACCCACCAACUGAUGGUCAGUCCGAGAAGCAGUCAAGAUGGAGAACUGCAAAAUUAACAGCUUAAGUUUUCCAGGAGUCUCAGUGCCCAAUGUCAGGUCUACCAGGGAUGUCCAGCCCCUCUGGUCAGAGCCCCAGGAGCCUUGUCUGAAUGUGGAUCCCCUCUGCUUAUUCAAAGAGACCUGGGAAGCUGAGCCAGGAACCUGGAUAAUGACCAGAAAGUCACCCAGACACCUGAGAAAUGCCUCCCUUAUAUCCAAGAGAUCCCUGUGUGUAGAACACAUGAAUCUAUUGGAAUAUCACACACAGUGAGCAGACUCUUCUUACACUUACUAAACUCUCUUCGUAGAUUUACUAAAUUUUUCACCAGUGACUCAAUGGAGCGAAACCAGGUCCCAGACUCGAUUUAAAAAAAAAAACCACACACACACACACACAAAAAGUUCUUUAGGUGAGCAUGUAUGCAUGUGUAAAUGGUACUAUACAAUGGUAUGAUUGGAUAGUCAAAGGAAUAUCUAACCCAAGUGUACAUAAGGAGUAAAUUUGGAGUCAGAGGAAGUUGGUCAUUGUAGGAAAGUAACUGCUGCAAGAAAGAUUUCUUAGAAUGUAACUGUCUAAUAUGAGGCAUUUAUGCCUCUUUUCCUCCAUGUUUCUAGUUUCUGCCUUGGGUUUGGCAUUUAUUGUUUAUCCUGCUUCAAGUAUAAGACUAGUGGUUUAUUCGAGGGCCCACAACUUCCACUUCUACCCUGGCGUCACACAGAUCAUUUUCUCUUCUCAAGUCAUUGUAUUUUCACUGGUAGUAAAAGAGGAUAAUAUCUUCAUCUUCAAAUAAAUUAGUGGGAGGGAUUCAAAUUAUGAGGGAAAAGAAAAAUUGGUUCUUCUGCUGUAGGGAAGGGUUACUGAAAAUUAAAGGACAACCUACUGAGCUGAAGAGAGCUUUGGGGUUUGGUAAUUUGGGGUGUGAGGUGGAUCUUCAGGAAUGCCAUGGGCUUCAAGACUAGUGUGUCUCUCCCUUAGUAUGUUCCUCCUCAGUUUGAAAGGACUUCCUGGUAAAGGACUGAAAGAAAUGUCCACUCCAUCAUGUCUCUGCUGACACCUAGCUUCUCUUCUCCAGUUAUAAGUCCAUUUUCCUACUGGGGUAACACAAGAAGGAGGAAGAAUAGCUCAGGGGUCUUCCCUUCACAUCUCUCCUACAAGGAUUGUGAAAUGUCAUAUGCCUCCUCCCAUAGACUUAGAUAGACCUAAAAUUGUCAACAUGUGUCCAGAUAGUUGCAAAAAAUAUAUAAUUUCCAACAUAUUCUCCAUAUUAACACUUUAAAAUAAAACUGUUAAUCACUCAUAUGUUCAAUUCAAUCUAAAUAUCAUAAUGUUUUGACACCCAUUAUCAUUAAUUUAAAAAAUAUACAAACAACCUCUUUCUUAAUGGUUGGAAAUUUUACAUUGCUCUUUUUUCCCACUUUGAAUUCAUAUUUUUAUUCUAC
rnacentral:lncRNA from 1 species